GACGGAGACCCCUAGCGUUGUUCGGAAUUACUGGGCUUAAAGCGCGUGUAGGCGGAGCGGUAAGUACUUUGUGAAAGCCCUGGGCUCAACCCAGGAAUUGCUUGGUAUACUGCCGUUCUUGAGGCAGGUAGGGGUUACUGGAACCUUAGGUGGAGCGGUGAAAUGCGUAGAUAUCUAAGGGAACGCCUGUGGCGAAAGCGGGUAACUGGGCCUGACCUGACGCUGAGACGCGAAAGCGUAGGGAGCGAACGGG
rnacentral:rRNA from 1 species